CUGCUCUCACGCUCUCCCUACUUCCAGGCUGCAAGCAGAGGGCUGACUGGGCGGCCAGGGGAGUGAUCCCCACAACCUGGUCUGCGAAUGCUGGGGCCCGCGGAGACCCGCGGAGGCGCUAUAGGUUUAAAGGUUCUUCCCUGAGCACCUGACUUAGUGAACCUACUCACAUUCCUCCCUACAGCCAGCACCCAGCCACUCUUUGGGAAAAUGUACAACAGAGAAAAACAGAGCUGGAGAUCUCUACCGCCCCCUUCUUCACACAGUAUCAUCUUUGCAGCCCCUCCUUCUUUCUCAACAGGUGUUCUGAAAAUGACAUGUGAUUUAAGAACUCUGGGUUUCACACCACAUCUGAAAACAAACAUACACCUCUUCUAAAAAGAAAAACGUAUUGCUUUGCAAUCCAAUGUAUUGUUCAACAUAUGGAUUGACUUCUGUUGAAUACUAAGGAUUACUACAAAUAAAAAUAAAUCAUUGUACUGUUAA